rnacentral:tRNA from 1 species
GUCCCCAUCGUCUAGCCUGGCCUAGGACAUGAGCUUUUCAAGCUCACGACACCGGUUCAAAUCCGGUUGGGGACGCUA